rnacentral:RNase_P_RNA from 1 species
GCCGGACGGUUGCGCGGUAUGGCGCCGAAAGGUAUUACCGUGAGGAAAGUCCGUGCUUCACAGGGCAGGAUAGCUGAUAACGUCAGCCGAGGGUGACCUUAGGGAAAGUGCAACAGAAAACAACCGCCGCAUUUUGCGGUAAGGGUGAAAACGCAGGGUAAGAGCCUACGUCGCCCUAUGGUAACAUAGGGAGGGUGUAAACCCUAUCCGAAGCAACACCGUAUGCGAAAGAUUUUAUUUGCCCGAUAAGGCUUUUGCCUCUUUCGCGGGUGGCACGCAAUUUUUGCGGAGCCUUAUGGUGACAUAAGGCAAAGAUAGAUGACCGUCUUUAACAGAACACGGCUUACAGGCUCGGUU